rnacentral:rRNA from 1 species
UACGUAGGGUGCGAGCGUUAAUCGGAAUUACUGGGCGUAAAGCGUGCGCAGGCGGUUUUGUAAGUCAGAUGUGAAAUCCCCCGGGCUCAAACCUGGGAACUGCGUUUGAAACUACAAGGCUAGAGUGUAGCAGAGGGGGGGUAGAAUUCCACGUGUAGCAGUGAAAUGCGUAGAGAUGUGGAGGAAUACCAAUGGCGAAGGCAGCCCCCUGGGUUAACACUGACGCUCAUGCACGAAAGCGUGGGGAGCAACAGG